AGCCGUCAUUCAAACGUGACUGAUGAAAUUUUGACCAGGUUUUUGUAAACAUGUUAUCAUCAUGCCGAUUGCAUGGUGUACUUACACUCUCGUCAAUUUGGAUUUAGAUUACAUCUUGGAAAUGAUAAGGUCCCGGAUACAGAGUGCCACCAGGGCAGUCCGAUGGGGUCCACAUCGAGUGUAAAACGAACUACACGUCCCUUAAAAGACGACAAUAAACCCGUGCAAAGUCAAAGACCUGUCCGGUUAGAACAGAUAGAGGAGAGAACGUCACACGGCACCGAGGACAACAAGAAACUCAUUAAAGACGAAGAUGUGAAGUUGUCUAAGGACACGGAGAAAUCUCGGCACAGACGACUGACAAAGGACGACACGAAACAUACCCCAUUUACAAAGGACGAAUCUAAAUACACACAAGAUCACAUAGAUAAACCAACGUCCUUCAGGGAUGACACGCUACACGUGAAGGAUGGACAAAAAUCACGCAGAAGGUACAGUCAGUAUGAUGUAAGGGACAGUAGCGGUGAUAUUAGAAAAGACGAGCUAUUGUACGAGGAAGAUGAUGCAAGAGACGCAAUGCUCAAAAGAAGAUACGGCAAACUUUCACACGAAAAAGGAGAGAAAAUAAAGCACAUUGGCGAUGACGGUCCGGAGGUCGGAGAGGAAAACGACGACACCGAUGAGUUAAGAAGGCUGAUAGAGAAAAGGCAUCGGAGUCAGAGGUACUCUCUUCCUCCUGGACGUCGGGAACCCCCGAGAGAGGCUCCACGGCAUCGAACACGUCCAGAAAGGAUUGUGAGCAGAGAACCACGUGGUGUAAACUUUGCCUUUUGGGGCAAGGAUGGUGUUACAUUUUAAAUCACAAUAUUAUAAAACUUGGAUUAUUCUUUGAAAUAUUGUGACGCUGCACGUACAGUGACGUCAUAAAACUGGUUUCUUGGUGAUUUCAGUAGCAGUCACAGUAGAAACGUGGAUUGAAUUAGUCGCGCAGCCCAGUCCCGAUAUAACAGUAGAUGAUGGCCUAGGUAUUCCGAUGGGGAGGUGACUCAUGGGAAAUAGACAGACCAAGGAAGGCGGGAAGACGUAUACGGGCGGAGCGCGUGUAGUCAUAGUUCUCCGUCAGCUUCAGAAGACUUAGAUCCUAGUAGUAAAACUCGAAUUAAAUUCCGGGGAGACAAGCGGAAACAUGUCACCUUCACCAAGCGACCACAGAUGGUCGAAAUAGGACAACUGACCAAAGAUCUCGCGUAUAACGGCAAAGUUAAAUUCCAGCGAAGUCAGACCAGAGCCGUAGGAAUCUCCAACGCUGGAGAAGACAACAAAGCGUCGAUGACGUCAGUAAAUACCGUGACGUCAUCGGUGCCAGGGGUUCCUAGCAUUGCGACUUAUCAACAACCAGAAGAGGAUUUCCAAUGGGAACAAAGACCAACGCAACAAACGGCGCUUACAAAAGUAGACGAAAUAUAAACGGAUGAUAUCAUUUUAUUCCAGAGUCCUUCCCUUUUGUGUGAAGCUAAAAUGUACCUUUAACUUUAUGAACAGAGAAAGACUUCAUUAUUCAUUGAGAUAUAUACCAUAACAUUAAAUUGAAUGCUGUGAACAGAUGUUGUAUAGUGAAUCACUCUGAAAAAGUCCUGCAAUACACAUAUAUGUAAAUAUCAUUUGCUUAAUUAAAAGUAUAUUUGAACAUAUUUUUGUAUUAUGUGACAUUGUGCUUCUUAAUAUCGUCCUAAAUAAAAAAUACUUUGUACGUACAAUGUUAACGCGAAUCUGCUAUACGUGUACAAUGUGUACCCAGGUCCAAAGUCAAGGUCCUGUUAAUGUGCUGUGUUUAUCUGACGUAACAAUCAGGUCCGAAGUUAAGGUCCUGUUAAUGUUCUGUGUUUAUCUGACGUAACAAUCAGGUCCAAAGUCAAGGUCCUGUUAAUGUUCUGUAUUUAUCCGAAGUAACAAUCAGGUCCAAAGACAAGGUCCUGUUAAUGGUCUGUGUUUAUCUGACGUAACAAUCAGGUCCAAAGUAAAUGUCCUGUUCAUGUUCUGUGUUUGUCUGACGUAACAAUCAGGUCCAAAGACAAGGUCCUGUUAAUGUUCUGUGUUUAUCUGACGUAACAAUCAGGUCCAAAGACAAAGGCCUGUUAAUGUUCUGUGUUUAUCUGACGUAACAAUCAGACCCAAAGUCAAGGUCCUGUUAAUGUUCUGUGUUUAUCUGACGUAACAAUCAGGUCCAAAGUAAAUGCCCUGUUCAUGUUCUGUGUUUAUCUGACGUAACAAUCAGGUCCAAAGACAAGGGCCUGUUAAUGUUCUGUGUAUAUCUGACGUAACAAUCAGGUCCAAAGUAAAUGCCCUGUUCAUGAUUUGUGUUUAUCUGACGGAACAAUAAGGUCCAAAGUCAAGGUCCUGUUAAUGUUCUGUGUUUAUCUGACAUAACAAUCAGGUCCAAAGACAAAGGCCUGUUAAUGUUUUUUGUUUAUCUGACGUAACAAUCAGGUCCAAAGUAAAUGUCCCGUUUUUGUUUCUUUGUUUAUCUGACGUAACAAUCAGGUCCAAAGUCAAGGUCCUGUUAAUGUUCUGUGUUUAUCUGACAUAACAAUCAGGUCCAAAGACAAAGGCCUGUUAAUGUUUUUUGUUUAUCUGACGUAACAAUCAGGUCCAAAGUAAAUGUCCCGUUUUUGUUUCUUUGUUUAUCUGACGUAACAAUCAGGUCCAAAGUCAAGCUCGUGCUAAUGUUCUGUGUUUAUCUGACGUAACAAUCAGGUCCAAAGACAAGGUACUGUCAAUGUUCUGUAUUUGUCUGAAGUAACAAUCAGGUCCAAAGUCAAGGUCCUGUUCAUGUUCUGUGUUUAUCUGACGUAACAAUCAGGUCCAAAGUCAAGCUCGUGCUAAUGGUCUGUGUUUAUCUGACGUAACAAUCAGGUCCAAAGACAAAGGCCUGUUAAUGUUUUUUGUUUAUCUGACGUAACAAUCAGGUCCAAAGUCAAGGUCCUGUUCAUGUUCUGUGUUUAUCUGACGUAACAAUCAGGUCCAAAGCGAAGGCCUGUUAAUGUUCUGUGUUUAUCUGACGUAACAAUCAGGUCCAAAGCGAAGGCCUGUUAAUGUUCUGUGUUUAUCUGACGUAACAAUCAGGUCCAAAGUAAAGGUACUGUUAAUGUUCUGUGAUUAGCUAACGAAACAAUAAGGUCCAAAGACAAGGUCCUGUUAACGUUCUGUGUUUAUCUGACGUAACAAUCAGGUCCAAAAUCAAGGUCCUGUUAAUGUUCUGUGUUUAUCUGUCGUAACAAUCAGGUCCAAAGACAAGGUCCUGUUAACGUUCUGUGUUUAUCUGACGUAACAAUCAGGUCCAAAGUCAAGGUACUGUUCAUGUUCUGUGUUUAUCUGACGCAACAAUCAGGUCCAAAGUCAAGGUCCUGUUGAUGUUCUGUGUUUAUCCGACGUAACAAUAAGGUCCAAAGUCAAGGUCCUGUUCAUGUUCUGUGUUUAUCUGACGCAACAAUCAGGUCCAAAGUCAAGGUCCUGUUGAUGUUCUGUGUUUAUCCGACGUAACAAUAAGGUCCAAAGUCAAGGUCCUGUUCAUGUUCUGUGUUUAUCUGACGUAACAAUCAGGUCCAAAGUCAAGGUCCUGUUGGUGUUCUGUGUUUAUCCGACGUAACAAUAAGGUCCAAAGUCAAGGUCCUGUUAAUGUUCUGUGUUUAUCCGACGUAACAAUAAG